rnacentral:rRNA from 1 species
UGCAAGUCGAGCGGACAGAAGGGAGCUUGCUCCCGGAUGUUAGCGGCGGACGGGUGAGUAACACGUGGGUAACCUGCCUGUAAGACUGGGAUAACUCCGGGAAACCGGAGCUAAUACCGGAUAGUUCCUUGAACCGCAUGGUUCAAGGAUGAAAGACGGUUUCGGCUGUCACUUACAGAUGGACCCGCGGCGCAUUAGCUAGUUGGUGGGGUAAUGGCUCACCAAGGCGACGAUGCGUAGCCGACCUGAGAGGGUGAUCGGCCACACUGGGACUGAGACACGGCCCAGACUCCUACGGGAGGCAGCAGUAGGGAAUCUUCCGCAAUGGACGAAAGUCUGACGGAGCAACGCCGCGUGAGUGAUGAAGGUUUUCGGAUCGUAAAGCUCUGUUGUUAGGGAAGAACAAGUGCGAGAGUAACUGCUCGCACCUUGACGGUACCUAACCAGAAAGCCACGGCUAACUACGUGCCAGCAGCCGCGGUAAUACGUAGGUGGCAAGCGUUGUCCGGAAUUAUUGGGCGUAAAGGGCUCGCAGGCGGUUUCUUAAGUCUGAUGUGAAAGCCCCCGGCUCAACCGGGGAGGGUCAUUGGAAACUGGGAAACUUGAGUGCAGAAGAGGAGAGUGGAAUUCCACGUGUAGCGGUGAAAUGCGUAGAGAUGUGGAGGAACACCAGUGGCGAAGGCGACUCUCUGGUCUGUAACUGACGCUGAGGAGCGAAAGCGUGGGGAGCGAACAGGAUUAGAUACCCUGGUAGUCCACGCCGUAAACGAUGAGUGCUAAGUGUUAGGGGGUUUCCGCCCCUUAGUGCUGCAGCUAACGCAUUAAGCACUCCGCCUGGGGAGUACGGUCGCAAGACUGAAACUCAAANGAAUUGACGGGGGCCGC